rnacentral:rRNA from 1 species
UAUAUAGAGUCUGACCUGCCCGGUGUAUAAAAUAUCAACGGCCGCAGUAUCCUGACUGUGCAAAGGUAGCAUAAUCAUUUGUCUUUUAAUUGAGGACUGGUAUGAAUGGUUUGACAAGGACUAAGCUGUCUCAAGAUAGAUUAUUAGAAUUUAACUUAUAGGUGAAAAGGCCUACAUAGUAUUGAUAGACAAGAAGACCCUAUCGAGCUUAAAAUUUUGUGAGGUGUGCUUUAGAAUAAUUUUUGGUUGGGGCGACAGAGGAAUAUAAUAAACUUCCUUUAUAUAGAAAACUUGUGUGUUAAGAUCCAUUGUAUGAUCAUAAGAAAAGCUACCGUAGGGAUAACAGCGUAAUUUUCUUUUAGAGUUCUUAUCGAAAAGAGAGUUUGCGACCUCGAUGUUGGACUAGAGGAGCCAAAGGGUGUAGAAGUCUUUUAGGGUUAGUCUGUUCGACUAUUAAAUCUCU